rnacentral:tRNA from 1 species
CAUCACAUAGCUUAAAGAAAGCAUCUUGCUUACACCAAGAAAAUGCCAGUGAAACUCUGGCUGUCUUGA